UACGUAGGUGGCAAGCGUUGUCCGGAUUUACUGGGCGUAAAGAGCGCGCAGGCGGUCGUUCAAGUCGAGUGUGAAAGCCCCCGGCUCAACUGGGGAGGGUCACUCGAUACUGAUCGACUCGAAGGCAGGAGAGGGAAGCGGAAUUCCCGGUGUAGUGGUGAAAUGCGUAGAUAUUAGGAAGAACACCAGUGGCGAAGGCGGCUCACUGGCCCGGUACUGACGCUGAGGCGCGAAAGCGUGGGGAGCAAACAGG
rnacentral:rRNA from 1 species